rnacentral:rRNA from 1 species
AACGCUGGCGGCGUGCCUAAUACAUGCAAGUCGAACGCAUUGUGGUUGAAAUGAUAUGAAGAACUUGUUCAGAUUUGAUUUUCAACAUUGCAAUGAGUGGCGAACGGGUGAGUAACACGUGGGAAACCUACCUCUUAGCAGGGGAUAACAUUUGGAAACAAAUGCUAAUACCGUAUAAUAAUUAAAACCGCAUGGUUUUANUUUAAAAGAUGGUCUUGCUAUCACUAAGAGAUGGUCCCGCGGUGUAUUAGUUAGUUGGUGAGGUAAUGGCUCACCAAGACAAUGAUACAUAGCCGAGUUGAGAGACUGACCGGCCACAAUGGGACUGAGACACGGCCCAUACUCCUACGGGAGGCAGCAGUAGGGAAUCUUCCACAAUGGACGAAAGUCUGAUGGAGCAACGCCGCGUGUGUGAUGAAGGGUUUCGGCUCGUAAAACACUGUUGUAAGAGAAGAAUGACAUUGAGAGUAACUGUUCAAUGUGUGACGGUAUCUUACCAGAAAGGAACGGCUAAAUACGUGCCAGCAGCCGCGGUAAUACGUAUGUUCCAAGCGUUAUNCGGAUUUAUUGGGCGUAAAGCGAGCGCAGACGGUUAUUUAAGUCUGAAGUGAAAGCCCUCGGCUCAACCGAGGAAUUGCUUUGGAAACUGGAUAACUUGAGUGCAGUAGAGGAAAGUGGAACUCCAUGUGUAGCGGUGAAAUGCGUAGAUAUAUGGAAGAACACCAGUGGCGAAGGCGGCUUUCUGGACUGUAACUGACGUUGAGGCUCGAAAGUGUGGGUAGCAAACAGGAU